AUUGAACGCUGGCGGCAGGCUUAACACAUGCAAGUCGAACGAGUGGCGGACGGGUGCGUAAUGCUUGGGAAUCUCGCUUAUGGAGGGGGAUAACUACGGGAAACUGUAGCUAAUCCCGCGUACCAUAGGAUGAGCCCAAGUGGGAUUAGGUAGUUGGUGAGGUAAAGGCUCACCAAGCCGACGAUCUCUAGCUGGUCUGAGAGGAUGACCAGCCACACUGGGACGGAGACACGGCCCAGACGCCUACGGGAGGCAGCAGGGGGGAAUAUUGCGCAAUGGGGGCAACCUGACGCAGCCAUGCCGCGUGAAUGAAGAAAGCCUUCGGGUUGUAAAGUUCUUUCGGUAGCGAGGCGUUAACUACAGAAGAAGCACCGGCUAACUCCGUGCCAGCAGCCGCGGUAAUAC
rnacentral:rRNA from 1 species